ACACGGGGGGCGCAAGCGUUAUUCGGAAUUAUUGGGCGUAAAGGGCGUGUAGGCGGUUUUAUCGGUCAGAUGUGAAAGCCCAGGGCUCAACCCUGGACGUGCAUUUGAAACAGUAAGACUUGAGUACGGUAGAGGAAAGCGGAAUUCCUGGUGUAGAGGUGAAAUUCGUAGAUAUCAGGAGGAACACCGAUGGCGAAGGCAGCUUUCUGGACCGAAACUGACGCUGAUGCGCGAAGGCGUGGGUAGCGAACAGGAUUAGAAACCCCGGUAGUCC
rnacentral:rRNA from 1 species